GUCGUUCUGGCGCAGCGGUAGCGUGGUGGGCCCAUAGAGAAACCCUGCAUGGAAUCCAUGCUGCUCGAUAUGAGAGACACCCACAGGUCGGGGGAUCGAGACCUCCGAACGACA
rnacentral:tRNA from 1 species